rnacentral:rRNA from 1 species
GACGAACGCUGGCGGCGUGCUUAACACAUGCAAGUCGAACGAUGAAGUCGGAGCUUGCUCUGGUGAAUUAGUGGCGAACGGGUGAGUAACACGUGAGUAACCUGCCCUUGACUCUGGGAUAACUGCUAGAAAUGGUAGCUAAUACCGGAUACGACCCUCGGAGGCAUCUUCAGGGGGUGGAAAGAAUUUCGGUCAAGGAUGGACUCGCGGCCUAUCAGCUAGUUGGUGAGGUAAUGGCUCACCAAGGCGACGACGGGUAGCCGGCCUGAGAGGGUGACCGGCCACACUGGGACUGAGACACGGCCCAGACUCCUACGGGAGGCAGCAGUGGGGAAUAUUGCAUAAUGGGCGCAAGCCUGAUGCAGCAACGCCGCGUGAGGGAUGACGGCCUUCGGGUUGUAAACCUCUUUUAGUAGGGAAGAAGCGAAAGUGACGGUACCUGCAGAAAAAGCACCGGCUAACUACGUGCCAGCCGCCGCCGUAA